rnacentral:rRNA from 1 species
AUACUGUAUAAUCCCUGCGGGGGAAAGAUUUAUCGCUACUAGAUGAGCCUAUGUCAGAUUAGCUAGUUGGUGGGGUAAUGGCCCACCAAGGCUGUGAUCUGUAGCUGGUCUGAGAGGAUGAUCAGCCACACUGGAACUGAGACACGGUCCAGACUCCUACGGGAGGCAGCAGUGGGGAAUAUUGGACAAUGGGCGCAAGCCUGAUCCAGCUAUGCCGCGUGAGUGAGGAAGGCCUUAGGGUUGUAAAACUCUUUCAGUAGGGAAGAUAAUGACGGUACCUACAGAAGAAGUCCCGGCAAACUCCGUGCCAGCAGCCGCGGUAAUACGGAGGGGGCAAGCGUUGUUCGGAAUUAUUGGGCGUAAAGGGCAUGUAGGCGGUUUGGUAAGUUAAAGGUGAAAUACCAGGGCUUAACCCUGGGGCUGCUUUUAAUACUGCAGGACUAGAGUCCGGAAGAGGAU